UACAGAGGUCUCAAGCGUUGUUCGGAUUCAUUGGGCGUAAAGGGUGUGUAGGUGGCGCGCUAAGUCGGGGUGUGAAAUUUCGGAGCUUAACUCCGAAACUGCAUUCGAUACUGGCGGGCUUGAGGACUGGAGAGGAGACUGGAAUUCAUGGUGUAGCAGUGAAAUGCGUAGAGAUCAUGAGGAAGACCAGUGGCGAAGGCGGGUCUCUGGACAGUUCCUGACACUGAGACACGAAGGCCAGGGGAGCAAACGGG
rnacentral:rRNA from 1 species